UACUUUCUCAUGUUUGUAGUGCGUUUGUUAGCGCAAUAGGCAGAAUUAAACAUUCAGGCAGGCUCCUGGUUUCAGUUUGGCAAAAAUGUUCGUAUUUACUUUUGAAAACGAAAAAAAUUGGUGCUCCCGUUUUUAUAAAACGAAAGAUUCUUUCGCUUUCAAAAAGAAAAUUAAAAGUCAACGGAAAAAAAACUUUACGUUUUCGUGCUAACUGCUGGGGCAGCUCGAUUCGGUUACGUGGCUAAGAAUAAAUUUUUGCGCAUAACAGUGGAAGCGCUCAGAUUUUACAUAUAACGUUCCAUUACCAAUUUAAUUUUCCAAAUAUUGCUGUUACUGUUAGGAAGUCUUGAUCUUCCUUAAUAGCGCGUUUUCUGCCGUCGCUUUCAAGCAAUUGAAAAAACAAAAGACCUUUUUGGCAUGCUGUAUUUUUAGGAAACAACCAGGUCUACUGUUUGAGAAAAUCAAAAAUAUCCAUGAAAAUAAUGUGGGAAAUCGGGAGCACCUGAAAACGAAAACGGAACGUUUUGUCUGAAAACGCAAAUCCUGCCCGAUUAUCUACCAGGUUGCAACAUUUGGCUCAGAUCGCAUCAAGAAUAGUCAGAAUGAAACGAUUCCACGUGGCUGGUGUCGAUAUGUUUCACUUUCGCAUCGAUUCUGACACACAAAACCAGCUGACCUGGUUGCUUGCUAAAUAAACAGCAUCAUAAAAAUGCGUUUACUUUUUUUCAAUCGCUUGUUUUGUAGCAAAACGACUUUAGAAAGUGUGUGAAUUAAGAAGACCAAGACAUAUUCGAUACGACACUUCUGUAUUUAACAUGUCUGACAAGCUAUGCGAGACGAGAACAGUCUGUGCUGUUAUGUGCAAAAAUGUAUUUCUUGCCAACGUUCCGGUAAUCAAAUCGGACUGGAUCAGCUAUUUUUACCAAAACGAAAAUGCCCUCACCAAUUAUUUUAGGACCAAAUUUGAGGUUGUGUUGAGAAAAAA